GGAGAGGUGACAGAGCGGUCGAAUGUGCUAGUCUUGAAAACUAGAGUCCCUUAACGGGGACCGUGGGUUCGAAUCCCACCCUCUCCGCCA
rnacentral:tRNA from 1 species